rnacentral:rRNA from 1 species
CUACGAGAGGCAGCAGUGAGGAAUUUUGCGCAAUGGGCGAAAGCCUGACGCAGCAACGCCGCGUGAGUGAUGAAGGCCUUCGGGUCGUAAAGCUCUGUCAAGUGGGAAGAACCUAUGUAAUGUUAAUAUCAUUAUAUACUGACGGUACCACUGAAGGAAGCACCGGCUAACUCCGUGCCAGCAGCCGCGGUAAUACGGGGGGUGCAAGUGUUAUUCGGAAUCAUUGGGCGUAAAGGGCACGUAGGCGGCCUGGUAAGUCAGAUGUGAAAGCCCGGGGCUUAACCCCGGAAGUGCAUUUGAUACUGUCAGGCUUGAGUAUGGGAGAGGGAAGUGGAAUUCCUGGUGUAGAGGUGAAAUUCGUAGAUAUCAGGAGGAACACCGGUGGCGAAGGCGACUUCCUGGACCAAUACUGACGCUGAGGUGCGAAGGCGUGGGUAGCAAACAGGAUUAGAUACCCUAGUAGUC